rnacentral:lncRNA from 1 species
GGUUUGUUUUAACGCAGGAAGAGAGAGGGCUUAGGGAGAGAAAUAGGUUACGGUGCACGUGAAGAGAGUGAGAGGCGGUGGCGGAGCACGGCGGUUGCCUUCUUCCCUAACUCGAUAGGGUUCCGGCACGCCAUUCAUCGUCACCGUCAUAGGCGAGUGUCAACAUCCGACGCCUGAAACUGCCACCGCUAAAAAGGUCUCGGCAAAAGCUUCAACAUCAAUGUCACAGACUCACAGAUUAUCCAAAAAAUGUAGGGUUAAAUUAAAGAUCAAACACCUUCGAAUUGUCUUCCGGUAAACUUCCGGCCAAACUCAGUAUUCCGGCAAGGUUCCGAGGUUGUAGAAGUUCCGACAGUCUCCAGACUCGAAGUAAUCGCAGGAGAUGGUUGUGCCUUGCUUCCCCUCGCCUAGCAGUGUGGUGCGUGCAUAAGAUCAUAUAUACCCAUUAUCAUGGUUAUGACAUCUAUCCCCUUCUUUUAUUUAAGUAUUUAGAUUAUAAGAGUUUGAAGUGUGACGCGAAGGUAAAAACAUAUAAUACGGACAUUGUAAUUGUUACUUAAUGAAGUAGGUAUAUAUGAAAUUUAAUGUGUUUUGAAUGGGUAUAAAUUAUUUAUUUUGUUGGGUAGAUAUGAUAAGUACGUUUUUUUUGGAAAAAGUAAACUGAACCAGCGGGGUUGGGUGUGUAAGGCUGGUUGGAUGGGUCUGCCAAACCGGCCAAAACGAUUCUCUUUUAACAGUUGUGAUAUUUUGAUUAUUGAUUAGGGUUAUUGGUAGCAUUAGAUUUUGGCAUUGCCUAAUUGUUCUAUUUUGUUUAUAACAAGUUGGCGUCACCCCGCGCGUUGCGGCGGGUUCUUGAUUAUGAAUGCGUUUAGUAUCAUUGUAUAAGAUGCAAAGAUUUUAACUUUAUGCGACAAUUGUGAUUUGGUGUUAUGCGAGAGGUCGUAUCGGGUCGGAACGAUUAAACCAUUGCAUCGCUUGAACGCCCAAAAUAUGUUGAUUCUUGCUUGAUGGAUAAAUAAGGGUGGGUAUCGGUGAUGUACAGUGGUGGGCGACAACGCUCAUAGUCGAUGUAUGAUGGCAACAACAAACAGAAAGCGAGGUAGAUCGCAUGGCCGGAACCGAUAUAUUAUAGCAUAUACAGAUACAGAAUUUGGAAUAAAGUGAGAGAUUUAUAAAUAUUUGGUGUUCGUUUUCCGAUAUGAAAAUUUAAUAUGGAAAAAAGAGGCGUUGUAACUUGGAUGGAUUCAUGACCCGGUCUGCAUAUAGACAUUUCUAAUCGAAGCGUUAGUUUGCUAAAUAAUAUAAAUCAUGCAUUUGUAUGUGUCAUAUUUAAAGGGUGUGAUUCAAACAAUUGUGUCUUAAGUUACUUUUCAAUGCAAGGGUAUUAAAGGGUGUGAUAUGAAGAGACAACUAUUAAGUUAGCCUAAGGUACCCCAAGUUACUUUUUAUGAAUCCAUCUUUAGGUGUACUGGCAAAAUAGUCAACACUGAAGAUGUUCCCAAAUUCACCAGUUGAAGGCCAUCUCUUGGAUAUAAUUGGAAGUAGAAAGGAAAAGGUCGCACAGUUGCAGUUGGAGAAUACCAAGAGCAUGGGGAACAAAUGACAUGUGACAACUCGAAAUUUAGAACCUUUCUUGUAUCUUGAUGUAACUUGCUUGAAACAUUUCGUGACUAGUAACUUGUUAAUGUAAUGACAUAAGUGAACAUUUUAUGUGACUAUGUGCUUGCUUGUAUGUAUGGUAUAUAUGUAUGU